CACACAACGGGGUUUCGGGGCUGUGGACCCUGUGCCAGGAAAGGAAGGGCGCAGCUCCUGCAAUGCGGAGCAGCCAGGGCAGUGGGCACCAGGCUUUAGCCUCCCUUUCUCACCCUACAGAGGGCAGGCCCUUCAGCUCCAUUCUCCUCCAAGGCUGCAGAGGGGGCAGGAAUUGGGGGUGACAGGAGAGCUGUAAGGUCUCCAGUGGGUCAUUCUGGGCCCAGAGAUGGGUGCUGAAGCUCCCACGCCUGCCUGUGAAAAUGGAGUCCUCUCUCACCUGGGAGAGCCAGGUGCUGCCCCGAGAAGGAUGCAUUUAUGGCUUCGUGAAGUCUUUCCUGACCCCCGAUGCUGCUGACUAUAGAGACAAAGUCUCACUAUGUUGCUCAGGCUGGUCUUGAACUCCUGGCCUCAAGCGAUCCUCCCACCUCAGCCUCCCAAAGUGUUGGGAUUAUAGACAUGAGCCACUGCACCUGGCCGACCUUGGGCAAGUUCUUAAACCCUUCAAAGCCUCAUUUUUCUCCAAUCACAAAAGGGAAAGAUGGUAAUAUUUUCCCCACCAAAUUCUUGUCGGAUGCCCUCACAGAAUUGAGAUUAUGUACGUAAAACACCAGGUGCCUAACCCGGCACAGAGCAGGAGGGCUAAGCGUGACAUCCAGCACGUGGUCAGUGGAAUCCAGUAUUCCUACCCACCUCUCUAGUCUCCCCUCCACCCCUCUCCCUUUCAGAGGCACCAAGCUGCUUGUGGUCUUGUCUAUUCCCACUCCCUGCCUGACUGAACAUUUUCUCCACCUCCUGAUCAUCAGCAGCAGAAACUGGCUGCUCUUCCUCCUGGGUAGACAGCCAGACUGUAUUUCCCAGCUGCCCCUGCAGUGAGAUGUGGCCAUCGGAGCCAGCAUUGGCCAAUGGACUCUGCAUGGGAGUGACGCAUGCUGCCUCCAGGCUUGUCCCUAAAACCUCCCACGUGUCCUCCGCCUGCUCUUCCCACCUCCAAGGAGCACGGCAAUUGUGGAAGACCCAGAUUAGUGAUGGCAGAACCAUAGAUGGGAGGAACCUGGGUCCCUGACUUAAAGUAUCAUGGAUUUGGAUGUUCCCUUAGUGAGAAAUAAACUUCCAUUGUGUUUAAGCCUUUAUUUGUUUAUAGUUGGUUACAGCAACUGCCUUCUUUUAAUUAAAACACUCCUGCUGCU
rnacentral:lncRNA from 10 species